AAUACUACCAAGAUAGAACAUUUGGUAACAAGAAAACUUUUCUGGGUCCUGCAGUUCCUGACAAAGUAUAACUACGAUACAUAGUCCCCCACAUAAGUACUAACACAGGGGCAGUCUACUGGAUCCUAGGUCACUCUACUGGAUCCUCCCAGGUUAGGAGUACUAUUCCUCGGUUCCUGACUUAUUGUAAGUACAAUACAUAGUCCCCAAUAUAAGUACUAACACAGGAGCAGUGUACUGGAUCCGAGGUUUCUCUACUGGAUCCUCCCAGGUUGGGAGUACCGUUCCUUGGUUCCUGACUUAUUGUAAGUACAAUACAUAUCCCCAAUAUAAGUACUAACACAGGGUCAGUCUACUGGAUGCUGGGUCACUCUACUGGAUCCUCCCAGGUUAGGAGUACUAUUCCUUAGUUCCUGACUUAUUGUAAGUACAAUACAUAGUCCGCAAUAUAAGUACUGACACAGGGUCAGUCUACUGGAUCCUAGGUCACUCUACUGGAUCCUCCCGGGUUGGGAGUACUAUUCCUUGGUUCCUGACUUAAUGUAAGUACAAUACAUAGUUCCCAAUAUAAGUACUAACACAGGGCAGUCUACUGGAUCCUAGGUCACUCUACUGGAUCCUCCCAGGUUAGGAGUACUAUUCCUUAGUUCCUGACUUAUUGUAAGUACAAUACAUAGUCCCCAAUAUAAGUACUAACACAGGGUCAGUCUACUGGAUCUUAGGUCACUCUACUGGAUCCUCCAAGGUUGGGAGUUCUAUUCCUUGGUUCCUGACUUAUUGUAAGUACAAUACAUAGUUCCCAAUAUAAGUACUAACACAGGGCAG